rnacentral:tRNA from 1 species
GGAAGGAUGACGGAGUGGUCUAUCGUGGCUGUCUUGAAAACAGCUGGGCCAAAAGCCCCGGGGGUUCGAAUCCCUCUCCUUCCGCCA